rnacentral:rRNA from 1 species
GCUCCAGUAGCGUAUAUUAAAGUUGUUGCAGUUAAAAAGCUCGUAGUUGGAUUUCUGGUUGACCGAAAUGGCCGGGCUCCUAUGGAGACUGAGCGCUGUUUGUGCGUCUGCCAUCCUUCCAGAGAAUUGUGCCUACUGCUUCACGCGGCCGGGCACUGUGAUCUGGAUCUUUUUACUUUGAAAAAAUUAGAGUGUUCCAA